rfam:Triticum aestivum genome assembly, contig: Triticum_aestivum_CS42_TGACv1_scaffold_147852_2BS
AUAGUAUUCCUUCGUCCGAAAAUACUUGUCAUCAAAAUGGAUAAAAAGAGAUGUAUCUAGAACUAAGAUACAUCUAGAUACAUCCCCUUUUGUUCAUUUUGAUGACAAGUAUUUCCGGACGGAGGGAGUACUUG